GAUGUGUUAGCGCAGUGGUUAACUGUGCUUGACUUGGGAUCAAGAGGUCCUGGGUUCAAGUCCUGGCCACGGCC